rnacentral:sRNA from 1 species
GCCGGGCGCCGUAGCGCAUGCCUGUAAUCCCAGCGGCUUGGGAGGCUGAGGCAGGAGGAUCUCGAGUUCAAAGCCAGCCUCAGCAAAAGUGAGGCACUAAGCAACUCAGUGAGACCCUGUCUCUA